GUGGGGAAUCUUGCGCAAUGGGCGAAAGCCUGACGCAGCCAUGCCGCGUGAAUGAUGAAGGUCUUAGGAUUGUAAAAUUCUUUCACCGGGGACGAUAAUGACGGUACCCGGAGAAGAAGCCCCGGCUAACUUCGUGCCAGCAGCCGCGGUAAUACGAAGGGGGCUAGCGUUGCUCGGAAUUACUGGGCGUAAAGGGCGCGUAGGCGGACAGCUUAGUCAGAGGUGAAAGCCCAGGGCUCAACCUUGGAAUUGCCUUUGAUACUGGCUGUCUUGAGUACGGGAGAGGUGAGUGGAACUCCGAGUGUAGAGGUGAAAUUCGUAGAUAUUCGGAAGAACACCAGUGGCGAAGGCGACUCACUGGCCCGUUACUGACGCUGAGGCGCGAAAGCGUGGGGAGCAAACAGGAUUAGAUACCCCGGUAGUCC
rnacentral:rRNA from 1 species